UACGUAGGGUGCGAGCGUUAAUCGGAAUUACUGGGCGUAAAGCGUGCGCAGGCGGUUUUGUAAGCCAGAUGUGAAAUCCCCGGGCUCAACCUGGGAAUGGCAUUUGGGACUGGCAAGGCUUGAGUGCGGCAGAGGAGACUGGAAUUCCUGGUGUAGCAGUGAAAUGCGUAGAUAUCAGGAGGAACACCGAUGGCGAAGGCAGCUCGCUGGGACGGUACUGACGCUGAGGUGCGAAAGCGUGGGGAGCAAACAGG
rnacentral:rRNA from 1 species